rnacentral:rRNA from 1 species
GACGAACGCUGGCGGCGUGCUUAACACAUGCAAGUCGAGCGGUAAGGCCCUUUCGGGGGUACACGAGCGCCGAACGGGUGAGUAACACGUGGGUGACCUGCCCUCAGCUCUGGGAUAAGCCUGGGAAACCGGGUCUAAUACUGGAUAUGACUCCAUGACGCAUGUUGUGGGGUGGAAAGCCUUGUGCGGCUGAGGAUGGGCCCGCGGCCUAUCAGCUUGUUGGUGGGGUGAUGGCCUACCAAGGCGACGACGGGUAGCCGGCCUGAGAGGGCGACCGGCCACACUGGGACUGAGACACGGCCCAGACUCCUACGGGAGGCAGCAGUGGGGAAUCUUGCGCAAUGGGCGAAAGCCUGACGCAGCGACGCCGCGUGAGGGAUGACGG